ACGAACGCUGGCGGCGUGCUUAACACAUGCAAGUCGAACGGAAAGGCCCUGCUUGCAGGGUACUCGAGUGGCGAACGGGUGAGUAACACGUGGGUGAUCUGCCCUGCACUUCGGGAUAAGCCUGGGAAACUGGGUCUAAUACCGGAUAGGAGCCAUUUUUAGUGUGAUGGUUGGAAAGUUUUUUCGGUGUAGGAUGAGCUCGCGGCCUAUCAGCUUGUUGGUGGGGUAAUGGCCUACCAAGGCGGCGACGGGUAGUCGGCCUGAGAGGGUGGACGGCCACAUUGGGACUGAGAUACGGCCCAGACUCCUACGGGAGGCAGCAGUGGGGAAUAUUGCACAAUGGGCGCAAGCCUGAUGCAGCGACGCCGCGUGGGGGAUGACGGCCUUCGGGUUGUAAACUCCUUUCGCUAGGGACGAAGCUUUUUGUGACGGUACCUAGAUAAGAAGCACCGGCUAACUACGUG
rnacentral:rRNA from 1 species